GUGGAUGUGAGUCAUGUUAUGUUAUGAUCAAACAUUAGAAUUUUGUGUGGCUGUGUGCAUUGCAAUGAUGCAGAGGCCGGGUAUUACCCUCCUUUCCACACACAAAAAAAAACAUUAGAUUUUUUGCAUGUGUAAUACAGCCUAAAACCACAACUUAGUUUCUGUAACGCUUUAGAUAUAAUCAUGGACUCGUGGUGAAGAUUGUGUUUUGCAAUUUGAGUCAUUUUGUUACCUUUUAGUUGAAUAUGUAUUCUGCACUUUGACAUUUGAAUUCUUUCAGGUGCUUAGAUAAGGCUGCUGUAGUCUUAGGGGACCAAGAGAUAAAGUGAUGCGGAGCAUCCUUCCAUCAUCCCCAUGGACUCUACAGCAACACAUCCAAUCCCUCAAGGACCUAUGACUCGAGCACGUGCAAGAGCUCUUGAAACCGAGGUGACAUCACUCCUCUCACAAUUCCCUUUCGAUUCACAUGAGACAUGGUUACUACCUCAAACGGAAACGCUAUGCAUACUCAGGUACCAAUGAGUUCACCGUGAAGAAGCUAGGAAGCAAGGAGAACCGGAAGCGGAAGACAUGCAUGAAGACGGAGAGGAAAAAGCACCAAGGACCAGGGUGUCCGGACGAUCCGGACGGCGGCCCGGACGAUCCGGACAGAGCCCGGACGAUCCGGACCCCGGCUCGGGCGAUCCGGCUAAUUCGACCGAAGACUACAGAAGCCUCCCCCCUGAAGCCGGAUCAUCCGGACCCCGUCCCAGAUCAUCCGGACCCUGCCCGGACGUCCGGACCGCCAGCCGGACAUCCGGCCCUGCGCCUCCACCAGCCGAGUCUCCGGAUCAUCCGGGCCUCCACCCGGAUCAUCCGGACCAGCCCGGAUCAUCCGACUUCGGACCCGGAUCAUCCGGCCAGCGCGUGUUGGGCUGAGCCCGUGUACCCCUUCGCCCCCUAGCCUAUAAAUAGGACUCCUCCUCCUCCUUUUGAGACUUAGCAUUGGAUUAGCUCAUGUUUGUGUGAGAGCCUUUGCUCAUCCACUUGGAUACUUCUCCUCGGAGAUCAGGACCUCUCCGGAGAAGAUCCCCAAGCGGAUUCAAGACCCCUCUUUAGGGAAGAACAUCAAGGCCUCCUCUUGGAGAAGAACGAUUCCGUUGUAUCCUUUCCCUUUGUUGAUUGUGGAUCAUAUGUAUCACUUAUGUGUGUGGUGAUCUAGCACUUGUGUGAUCGAUUCCUUGUUGGUUGAGUGAUUCUCUCUCGUUUUCCCCGUGUUUUCCCUUUGUGCUUCUGCGUGUUCUUCGUGUCUCCCCGUAGGAUCCACUCCAAAUGUGAAAGAUCGACGCUAUAGGGUUUCACCCUACAUCAUCAUGGUAUCAUGAGCCACGUUGAUCACGUUUUGGAGCCCCUACCCCUCUUUUUCUAGCUUGAUUUUGUUGUUUUCGUCCUAAAUCCGAAAAUCCCCACCAAAAAUAGCCCCAAAUUUUUUUGUGAUUGGUUAGUUUUGAUGAUGUUUUGUUGAUUUUGAUCCGUGGAUUCGGUGUGUAACUCGUGGAUCUUGCUUUUCCCCACCUUCUCCACCUAGAAAUCCAUCCAAAAUCCGCGAAAUCAUCAAAUUUCUCCCCGUUUUCAUGUUCUUCCCGAGCAGUUCCCGAGCGAGAUUGACCUGCCCGGAUCAUCCGGACCUCGACCCGGAUCAUCGGGACAUGCCCGGAUCAUCCGGCUCCUGGCCCGGAUCAUCCGGCUUCCUCUGCCGAAACUGCAGUUUUGCAGUCCUCCUCCACCACCCCAACCACCACCACUUCCACCUGCCAAACCCCAGCAACACAACCUCCGUACUACCAUUCGACUUUGGGUUCGACAAUUUGAGUGAGAUUUCCGUGUCCUUUUGUGUUUCGGCUAUUUAGGCGCGGUGCGACAUCAACAACUACCGCUCAUUUUCGUCGACUACUCAUCUUCGCUACGGACAGUAACUUCGACGACAUCUUUGUCAUACCUUGCAAUUGCAUUGAUACCAUCAUAUACCAUCUUUUGCAUUGCUUACCCAUCGAGACUAGCCAUUGAGUAUUGCCGGCAACGUGACUUGUGCACAUUAGUAAGCAUACCCCAUAUCAUAUAUAUCAUCGUGGUGCAUAUCUCGGAAUCAACUUGUGUGUCACAAAGUUGUCAUCGCAUACACAAUUGCUAUCUUGGUUCGUGAAGUUUUCAUAAGAAAAGAGCUCACAAGAGAAAGAGCCACUCAAGCUUUUAAGCAAAGAGGAAAGAUAAGCAAAGAGCUUAUGAACAAGAAGCAUAGCAUCAUACAACAUUAAGAUUGUCAUAUAAGAUCAUCUUGGAUCAUUGCACCGAAAUACCAUACAUAUAGCAUACUUGGGAUAGAGAUCGUUGCAUUUUUGCCUAGUAGGUUGUGCACAAGCUCCGUAUCCGCCUAUUGUGCAAUCGUGCUAGCGUCUCUCUAGUAUUGUGCAACAAGAGCAUUUUCGUGGAUUCCACAUUUUGGCUCACUUUUGGUUUGCACAAUCCCAUUUAUCUAUUUGCGUGUGUGUUUCCGUGUACCACUACUUGCUUGGUCUACUUGUUACAUUUGCGAAUUUGCGAAUCCUUUUCAACAUUUUUGAGUCAAGCUAACAACUGCAAUCAAUUUUGUGCCACCAUCCUAACCAAGCUCCACCAAAAGCGUUUACUUGUGUAGGUGUGAGAAUCGACAAGGAUUGGUACCAAUAGUGCUAUUUCAUUGUCCACAUUUGAGUGAACUUGAUUCAUCUUCAACUUAGGUCAAAGGUACAUUGGUAUUAGUUCUUCUCCUUCUACCACUCACAAUUUUACUUGGUAUGAUGGAUAGGCCAAGUUCUUCUACAAAUCCACCUCUCAUCGAGAACGGCGACGACAUGUCAUCAUUCGUCACAAAGAGCCACCUCUUUGGUGCUCAAAGGGCGUUACACCAAGAGCAACAAGCUAUGAGCGACCGCAUCGACAACCUCUCCACCGACUUGCGACUCUCCGAGCAACGUACAAGAGACUACUUCGACGACAAGUUCGACUCUCACAAGCAAGAAAAUGAUGCAAGAAUGGACGAGAUCCGCGCCUUGAUGAGGAACCGGCAUCAUUCCACUUCUUCCUCCUCAAGACGGAGCCGCUCGAGUCGACACCCCGAUGACACCUUCUCCGGCUCAAGUACACCGUCAUCGACCAUUCUUCGACGAGCCGCGCGUCAAGACCGUCAUGCAUCUCGGAACCCACUACAAGACAAGCAUACACAAGAGCAAGUCGAUGAGCAAGUCCCUCGUCCUCCAUCAAACCAAGUGGCUUUUGCUCAAGCUCAAGAACGACAACGACUACGGCGACAAGAAGAAGAACGAGCGCGUCUACACCAAGAACAACAAGACGCCGAGGCUCAACGUCUUCAACAACAACAACGUGAAGCGCAAGCUCUGGAGGCGCAACGUGCCCUUCAAGAAUCAAGUCGAGCCAUCGCCAACCGCAAUCGCGAACGGCGCAAUCAAGAGGAAGCCCUUCGAGAAGAAAUCCAAGAGAGGAACUACCAUCCGCGUGCGCAACGGCAAGCUCCACAAGCCCCUCCUCAAGCUCGUCAAGCUCCCCUUCAACCUCAAGUUUAACAAGAGCAAGUUGAUCAUGGACUUCCUCCGCGCCAAGAGCAACAUGAGGAUGACUACCCUCCACGCCAAGGACGUCAUCAUCACCAUCGCCAACAACACAAUGAAGAGCAACGCUAUGGCAAGCUCAAGUUCACAAUGCCCAAGUUCAAGGGAAGCAAUGAUCCGGAAGAGUACCUCUCAUGGGCAUUGAAGGUCGACAAAAUCUUUCGUUUGCACAACUAUGAGGAAGAGAAGAAGAUCGCUAUGGCAUCACUUGAGUUCCAAGACUAUGUGCUCAUAUGGUGGGAACAACUCCUUGAACGCCGGGAAGCAAGAGGUGAACCUCCAAUCACCACUUGGGCUCAAAUGAAGGAUGUCAUGCGAGCACGUUUUGUGCCAACCUACUACAACCGCGAUCUCUUCAAGAAGCUACAACUCCUCAAGCAAGGAACAAAGAGUGUUGAAGAAUACUACAAGGAAAUGGAGAUUGCCAUGAUUCGAGCCAAUGUCACGGAAGAUGAUGAGCAAACAAUGGCACGAUUCUUGAAUGGACUCAAUCAUCCCAUCAAGAAGAUCGCCGACUUCCAACCCUACUCCAACCUCAUUGAGCUCGUGCAUCAAGCUACAAAGGCGGAACGUCAAGUGCAAGAUGACUUCAAGUACGCCAAGUACUCCUACAAGACACACGACUUCUCCAACAUCCAAGCUUCAACAACUCCUCCAACUUCGACAUCAACCAAACCUUCUCCAAGCAACGACGACAAGUCAAGUUACAAGAAAACUUCCACAAGUUCAAGUCGUCUUCCUCCUACUACAAGCAACUUCAAGCCGCGUGCUUCAUCAUCUACUCCGACCGAUGAGACCAUCAAAACAAGCUCCUUCAAGUGUUUCACUUGCGGCGGCCGAGGCCACAAGUCCUAUGAAUGCACCAACAAGCGCACCAUGAUCCUCAACGACGAUGACACCUACGACUCAAUGAGUGAAGAUGAAAUGGAAGCUAUUGAGCAAGUGGCCAUGCAACGGCGCGUGAACGAGGAUGAAGAUGAUCAAGUCUUUUGUGAUGAAGAUACGAGCCCCGCUCUUGUUGUCUCCAAGGUCUUGACACUUCAACAUCAACAAGAAGAAGACCAACGAUGCCACAUCUUCCACACAAAGGCCGGCAUCAAUGGAAGGUCCGUCAAGGUCAUCAUCGAUGGAGGUAGUUGCCACAACUUGGCAAGUGAAGAACUAUGCUCCAAGCUUCAAUUGAUCAAGAAGAAGCACCCGCACCCCUACAAGGUUCAAUGGCUAAGUGACUCCGGCACUAUACGAGUCGAGCAUACGGUCCAAGUCUCUUUCCAAAUAGGUGCUUAUGAAGACACUUUGGAAUGUGAUGUGGUCCCAAUGACCGUUUGCCACCUCCUUCUUGGUCGACCAUGGCAAUUCGACCGUGGUGUCAUCCACAAUGGGCGAACCAAUCACUAUAGCUUCAAGAUGAAAGGGAAGGAGUAUGUGCUACGACCUAUGUCUCCUAGUCAAGUGAUAGCCGACAAGCAAGCCACCCACCAUGGAGAGAAGAGUGAGAAAGUCACUCACCCAAAAGUGAGUGAGAGCCACAAGCCAAAUAUGAGCGCCUCUUCGCCUAGAGAGAAAAACCUCAUCCUAUUUGCCACCAAAAGUGAGAUAAGAGAAUUGUGUGAGAACCCAUCGAGUGUGAUGCACUUUGUCCUUGUGUGCAAGGAUGGAGAACCAAAAAGUAACACUUCUCACGAGCUACCUUUAGUGUUUCAAUCUCUUUUGCAGGAAUUCCAAGAUGUUUUCCCCGAUGAGCUACCUCCGGGUCUACCUCCUCUACGAGGCAUUGAGCAUCGAAUCGACCUCAUCCCCGGAGCACCACUUCCAAACAAAGCUCCAUACCGUGUCAAUCCCGAAGAAACCAAGGAGAUUCAAUGGCAAGUACAACAACUCAUCGACAACGGUCAUUCUUCUCUUCGUUUGCUACUUUUGCAAGAGGCUCAUGGAGGUGGACUCAUGGGACACUUUGGACGCGACAAGACUUUCGCCACGCUCUCCAAGAACUACUUUUGGCCAAAGAUGUUCUGCGACGUCUCACGCUUCACCACACGAUGCUCCACAUGUCGCAAAGCUAAGUCAAAAGCUCAAUCCCAUGGUCUUUACAUGCCACUUCCUAUUCCUUAUCAACCUUGGGAAGACAUUAGUAUGGAUUUUGUACUUGGUUUGCCUAGAACUCAAAAUGGAAAGGAUUCCGUGUUUGUCGUUGUGGACCGAUUUUCUAAGAUGGCACAUUUCAUUCCUUGCAACAAGAUAGACGAUACUUCACAUAUUGCAAAUCUCUUUUGUAGGGAAAUCUUGCGCCUCCAUGGAGUACCAAAGACAAUCGUCUCCGACCGCGACGUCAAGUUCUUGAGUUACUUUUGGAAGACUCUAUGCGCCAAGCUCGGAAUCAAGCUCUUGUUCUCAUCCGCAUACCAUCCUCAAACCGACGGCCAAACGGAGGUGACGAACCGGACACUAUCCACUCUACUUCGCGUGUUGAUCAAGAAGAACAUCAAGGAGUGGGAGGCGUGUCUACCCAUCGCCGAGUACGCCUACAACCGCGCAAGACAUACGACUACCGGCAAGUCCCCCUUCGAGGUCGUCUAUGGCUUCAACCCAUUGUCCCCAUUGGACAUUCUACCUCUUCCUCUACAAGAGCGCACCAAUCUCGACGCAAUUGCCCGUGCAAGCUACAUCAAGAAGAUGCAUGAAGAUACAAGAAACACCAUCGAGCACCAAGUACAACGACUAGCGACCAAGCUCAACAUCAACAAACAACCCAUGAUCUUCAACAUAGGCGAUCUCGUGUGGCUACACCUUCGCAAGGAACGCUUCCCCAACGAACGCAAGUCCAAACUACUACCUCGAGCCGAUGGACCCUUCAAGGUGUUAGCACGCUACAACAACAACGCCUACAAGCUCGACCUACCAAGCAACAAGUACAACGUGAGCGACACCUUCAACGUCAAAGACCUCUCGCCUUUCCAUGGUGAUGAAGAUCUAGAUCCGAGGUCGGAUCCUUUCGAAGGGAGGGGAUAUGAUGUGGAGCAUCCUUCCAUCAUCCCCAUGGACUCUACAGCAACACAUCCAACCCCUCAAGGACCUAUGACUCGAGCACGUGCAAGAGCUCUUGAAACCGAGGUGACAUCACUCCUCUCACAAUUCCCUUUCGAUUCACAUGAGACAUGGUUACUACCUCAAACGGAAA
rnacentral:lncRNA from 1 species